UGGGGAAUAUUGCACAAUGGAGGGAACUCUGAUGCAGCGACGCCGCGUGAACGAAGAAGGCUUUCGAGUCGUAAAGUUCUUUUAUAUGGGAAGAUAAUGACGGUACCAUAAGAAAAAGCCCCGGCUAACUACGUGCCAGCAGCCGCGGUAAUACGUAGGGGGCUUGCGUUGUCCGGAAUCACUGGGCGUAAAGGGUUCGCAGGCGGAAAUGCAAGUCAGGUGUAAAAGGCAGUAGCUUAACUACUGUAAGCAUUUGAAACUGCAUAUCUUGAGAAGAGUAGAGGUAAGUGGAAUUUUUAGUGUAGCGGUGAAAUGCGUAGAUAUUAAAAAGAAUACCGGUGGCGAAGGCGGCUUACUGGGCUCAUUCUGACGCUGAGGAACGAAAGCGUGGGUAGCAAACAGG
rnacentral:rRNA from 1 species